rnacentral:misc_RNA from 1 species
GUAGGUGAACCUGCGGAGGGAUCAUUACCGAGCGAGGGCCUUCGGGUCCGACCUCUCAACCCCAUGUGACCCGACACUGUUGCCUCGGGGGCGACCCGGCCCUUUGGGCGAUCGGGGCCCCCGGUGGACAUCUCAAACACUGCAUCUGUGCGUCCGAGUACAUGAUAAAUCAAUCAAAACUUUCAACAACGGAUCUCUUGGUUCUG